UUAACUAGUUUUAAACUUAUAACAUCAAAAAAUGAUUAUGGGAAAGUAUUGUAAUGACCAAUAGCGUAGUUGGCUAGAUGCAAACUGUAUUUUUGUGUUAUGGUAAUAACCAAUGGCGUAGUUGGCUAGAUGCAAACUAUAUUUUUGUGUUUUGGUAAUAACCAAUGGCGUAGUUGGCUAGUUUUUUAUAAAGUUUGCAUAUAGCUAAAUAAGCCAUUGGUCAUUACCACAUAUUGAAAAUAAAUAAAAACUUGAAAAUAAAUAAAAUGUGAGCUAAAUGAAUAAAAUUGAAUAAAACUUGAAAUGAAUAAACGCUGAGUUUAUUUUUAAGGUUCAAUUUUAUUCAUUUAAGGUUCACGUUUAUUCAUUUAAGGUUCACUUUUAUACAUUUAAACUUAACUUUUAUUUAUUGAAGCAAUGUUUAUUCAUUUCAAGUUUUAUACAUUUUCCGACAACCCCUUCACCGACAACCUCCCUUUCGCCUUUGCCUCUCCACCGCCCCCUCCCCUCUCCUCCUCAACUUCAGUCCCUCUAUUUCCUUCUGUUCGCGAUCUCCGACCACCGAUUCUCGAGGCGGUGGUUUGGGCCGGCAGAGGGGUUGUAGGAUUGGUUUGUUUAACUUAUUUAAUUAUCUAAAAUAAUUAAUUAUUAAGCUAAAUAGAUUUUAAUUAAUUAAUAAGUAAAUAUUAUUUCAAUCUUUUUAGAAAAUAAUUUUCACAUUUUAUAAAAUCAUUUUACAAUUUAGCAAUAACAAAGGAUACAAAGCAAAAGCCAACCAUAAUAUUUGACAUGUGGAUAAUUAUGGUGAUCACCCUACCCAUCCAACGUUUUAUCGUCCAAUUUGACGAGAGUCAAAAUUUGUCGUUUUUGGCAGGUUGGUUCAUACGCCUAAUUGCUAUACCCAUGUAUAGCCAAGUUGGUUGUACCCCCUGCCCAAAACGACGCGCAGCGUUGUUUUGGGUAAAAUACCCGGGUACAACCAAGUUGGUUGUACCCCCUGCCAAUGAUAAGCGCGUGAAGGCACGCGCGGUAUACAUAAAUUUAAAAAAAGGGAUGUGAGUUACGCGCAGGAAUUGCCUAUAAAUACAAAAAAAAGAAAUAAUUUUGAAACCUUAUCAAAUUCUUGGCACGCAAAAAAAUUUCUCUCUCCUCCGCCCACUCAUCAACCACGAUUGUUUUCUCUCUCCUAAAACCGUCAUUAAACUUCCUCCAACCACCUCAAUUUACUUUCUCUCUCUUCAAACUGCUACUAAUCUUCAUUAUAAAAACUAUAUUUGCAGAAAAAAUCAAGAGAAGAAAUAUGUUCCUUCUUUUUGGUGAAAAAAGAGGAGAAAAAUGGAUGUUAGAGAUGAAAUCGACAUGAACAAGCUUCAAAAUCCAAAUAAAAACAAAAAAAGUACAAAGUUGCCGAAAGAAAAAGAACAAACUACUGGAAAAUCUAGUAAUCAGCCAAAAAUCGGCACUGGAAAGCAAGAAGACAUGACGGAGUAAGUAAUUAUAAGUUUUCGUAGAUAAAAUUCAUUUUAAUUUACAUAUGUUCAAUCAAUUUAAUGUUAAUGUUCAAUCAUUUUUAUUUUAAUGUUCAUUUUCGUUGCGUAAUGAUUUUACCAAACCCUAACUUUUGGUUUUUUGGUCACUGAACUGGAAAAUACAAAAUUGAGACUGAAAUCGGAACUGAAAAGCAAAAAGACACAGUCCAUGAAGGAGAUGGGAAAGCAUCUUCAACUUCCGAGCCAGAAGUUCAAAAAACAUUGAGUGAAGGAGAUGAGAAAUCUUCAUCAAAAUCCCAACCAGAAGUUCAAAAAACAUCAAG